UGGGGAAUUUUGGACAAUGGGGGAAACCCUGAUCCAGCCAUUCCGCGUGAGUGAAGAAGGCCUUCGGGUUGUAAAGCUCUUUCGGCAGGAACGAAACGGUGGAGGCUAAUACCUUCCAUCAAUGACGGUACCUGAAGAAGAAGCACCGGCUAACUAC
rnacentral:rRNA from 1 species